UACGUAGGGGGCUAGCGUUGUCCGGAAUUAUUGGGCGUAAAGCGCACGUAGGCGGCUUUGCAAGUCCCAUGUGAAAGCCCACGGCUCAACCGUGGAAGUGCAUGGGAAACUGCAGAGCUUGAGUACUUAAGAGGAUCGCGGAAUUCCCGGUGUAGAGGUGAAAUUCGUAGAUAUCGGGAGGAACACCAGUGGCGAAGGCGGCGAUCUGGGAAGAUACUGACGCUGAGAUGCGAAAGCGUGGGGAGCAAACAGG
rnacentral:rRNA from 1 species